AUAUUGGACAAUGGUGGCAACCCUGAUCCAGCCAUCCCGCGUGUGCGACGAAGGCCUUCGGGUUUGAAAGCACUUUUUGCAGGAAAGAUAUCCCAUAGGAUAAUACCCUGUGUGGAUGACGGUACUUGCAGAAUAAGCACCCGCUAAGUAAGUGACAGCAGCAGCGGUAAUACGUAGGGUGCAAGCGUUAAUCGGAAUUACUGGGCGUAAAGCGUGCGCAGGCGGUUCGGAAAGAAAGAUGUGAAAUCCCAGGGCUUAACCUUGGAACUGCAUUUUUAACUACCGGGCUAGAGUGUGUCAGAGGGAGGUGGAAUUCCGCGUGUAGCAGUGAAAUGCGUAGAUAUGCGGAGGAACACCGAUGGCGAAGGCAGCCUCCUGGGAUAACACUGACGCUCAUGCACGAAAGCGUGGGGAGCAAAC
rnacentral:rRNA from 1 species